rnacentral:miRNA from 1 species
UCAAUGAGCUGACUGAAAAAAAAAUCACUAUUUUGAACUGUUAUUGUCCUUUCUUAUUCUAUACAAUAAGAAACCAUUUAUUGAUUAGAGUUUGACAUGAAAUGAAAGUAGAUAGAAAGUAACUUGCCGUGGCCAGCUCGGUGGUUGGACUGAAAGGAAGCUCC